rnacentral:rRNA from 1 species
UACGUAGGGUGCAAGCGUUAAUCGGAAUUACUGGGCGUAAAGCGUGCGCAGGCGGCUUUGCAAGACAGAUGUGAAAUCCCCGGGCUUAACCUGGGAACUGCAUUUGUGACUGCAUGGCUGGAGUGCGGCAGAGGGGGAUAGAAUUCCGCGUGUAGCAGUGAAAUGCGUAGAUAUGCGGAGGAACACCGAUGGCGAAGGCAAUCCCCUGGGCCUGUACUGACGCUCAUGGCACGAAAGCGUGGGGAGCAAACAGG